UGGGGAAUAUUGCACAAUGGGGGAAACCCUGAUGCAGCGACGCCGCGUGAACGAAGAAGGUAUUCGUAUCGUAAAGUUCUGUCCUAUGGGAAGAUAAUGACAGUACCAUAGAAGAAAGCUCCGGCUAAAUACGUGCCAGCAGCCGCGGUAAUACGUAUGGAGCGCGCGUUUGUCGGAAUUAUUGGGCGUAAAGGGUACGCAAGCGGUUUAAUAAGUCGAAUGUUAAAGAUCGGGGCUCAACCCCGUAAAGCAUUGGAAACUGAUAAACUUGAGUAGUGGAGAGGAAAGUGGAAUUCCUAGUGUAGUGGUGAAAUACGUAGAUAUUAGGAGGAAUACCAGUAGCGAAGGCGACUUUCUGGACACAAACUGACGCUGAGGUACGAAAGCGUGAGGAGCAAACAGG
rnacentral:rRNA from 1 species